AAUGCAAUGAUUAAAUGCCUUGUUCUGAAACUCGCUAGGCGUUACGCGUGCGCUCGGGUUGGGCCUAGCGUGUAACGAGAAAAGCGGAGAUUAAUCCAAGGUUAAUCGGCGAUUAAUUUUGGAUAUAGUUUAGUAGCGUACGUGAAAACAGAAAGAUUGUGUGUAGCCUAGUGGGAGCUGUUGUGAGAUAUUUCCAUCAGGUCUUGAGUUCGGCGCCUGAACACUUCAAUUUUGCUAUUUUUUUUUUAGGAGUGGCAAUAUGGUAGUAUUCUCAUCGUCUUCCUCUGUCCCAAAUAUUAAGGGUUAGCUGUUUCUGCAAUAUUUAGCUGCCGCAACAAAAAAAUUAGUAAAAUCCUUUAUUUUUUUUGCUUUUUAAUUGUUGUUUACACCUUGAAGCUAUAGAUCUACACUAUAU
rnacentral:lncRNA from 1 species